CUCUCUCCUCUGUCCUCUCUCCUCUGUCCUCUCUCCACCGUCCUCUCUCCUCUGUCCUCUCUCCUCUGUCCUCUCUCCACCGUCCUCUCUCCUCUGUCCUCUCUCCACCGUCCUCUCUCCUCCAGCCUCUCUUCUCUGUGACCCGGAAACCGAUGAGGUCGAGUAGUCGAGGAGUGUGUCAAUUCAUUAGUAGGCAAACAGAAGACUGUCAUCCCCUCCUCAAUAGCCUCUUUUUGGCGAGAAAGCACAAGUGUGUCCUACCGCGGAAGAGUUUUGAGAUUUGCCACACCCCCCUUUGAAUCAGCUGUUGUACUGUCGGAGGAGAAAAACAUUUUAAAACGAUAUGCUACUUAUCCUGGCACAAUUAACUACAUUUGUUUUUAUCCCUUUACACAUUUAUUUUGGGAUCCACCUCUGUAAAUGCAAUUUGCCUGACGACAGACGAGUGGAGAAGGAGCUUCUUAUUUCAUACAAGCACAUUUUUGUCCACGUUCACUCACGUCGCCACCUCUCCUUGGUUACUUUUGGCCUUUUUCAAAAGGAGGCGAGAGAGGAUGGAGGAGAACAGAGUUGAGCAAAUCUAAUUGAGAAAAGGCCACUGUCCUAUCCUGUCCUAUCCUGUCCUAUCCUAAUCUAGUUUUCCUUUCCUUGGGCUCAGUGCCCGCCCCUGAGUCUUUGAUUGGCGCUCUUUCCCAAACUAAGCCCCGCCCGUCACCCCCACCAGGCCUGUCUCUGCUCUCUGAGGGAAUGAGGAUGGGACUGAAGGCAGCUGGAGAAGGUGUGGAGAGAUCACCAUCAGAUAACAGAAUCAAUAUCUGUAGGCCUCUUGACUACCAAGAUAAGUGCAGUACUGUGAGAGUUUGACAGUGGGAGAUAUGAUGGAUUGCACAGGAGGUUGGUGGCACCUUAAUUGGGGAGGAUGGUUUGUGGUGAUGGCUGGAGCGCAAUAGGGGGAAUGGUAUCAAAUACAUCAAACAUGUUGUCCAUGUGUUUGAUGCCAUUGCAUUCGCUCUGUUCCAACCAUUAUUAUGAGCCAUCCUCCCCUCAGCAGCCUCCAUUGAUGGAUUGAUACAGCUGUAAGGUAUUUCAUUGCAGGGGAUUUGAUUCUGCAGUUGUCCUGAUGGUGGUGCUAUUGGAUCAGUACAGUAUCAAGAUUGAUCAAUGAGAUCACCUCGGUUUACCCAGAUCCCAGAGAACGAGGAUCUGUCCGGCCUGUCAGACGAGAGCCCUGGUCCGAUGACAGAGCUGAGUGAUGUCACUGAGCCAGGUCAGGAUGAUGAGUCAGAGGAGCAGCCUCCAGGGUCCUGAAGGGAGACGCCACUCAACAGGCCAGGUCAUGAGACUGAUGGAUGGAAAGAUGGAGGGAGGAAGGAGUGAGAAACGGAACAGCCUGAGAGAGAUGGAGGGAGGGAAGAGUGAUACUAGAUGGAACAGCCUGAGAAUGAUGGAAGGAGGGAGGAGUGAAAGACGGAAGAGCCUGAGACAGAUGGAGGGAGGAUGAUGUGAGAGAUGUAACAGCUUGAGAGCGAUGGAGGGAGGAGUGAUACUAGACAAAACAGCCUGAGAGAGAUGGAAGGAGGGAGGCAUGAGAGAUGGAACAGCCUGAGGAGGGACAUGACUCAGACUCAGGAUACUCUCUUUGAUGCAUCAAGGAAUGAGCUUCAACCCCUUUGCCUUUUAUCGUGGGAUUACGACUAUGAGAUGAAGAAACUGCUGGCAACCAAAGCCAUGCAGAAGAAGUCGGUGGUCAGUCCAUUCCUGCUGAGGCCGUCAACGAGCUACACAACAUCAGCCGACACAGCUACUAACCCUACCUGGCAAACACUGGACAACUACAACAGGUAUUACCAGCCAUUGAGCAGCUGCCCUCUCUGAAUGCUCUGUGGCCAGUCAGUGAACACCAUGCUCAUUUGGGUUAAUAGAUACAGUCUGAUAAUUUCUGGGUUGUUUUGUGUGAGGGAAUUUAGGAGUCAGUGUGAGCGUUUCGCCUAAGCGCCUGAUUAUUUGUAGCAAGCUAGGAGAGGCGUUGAGCUGGGUGAGAGCUUGUUUAUUAAUAUGAUUAUUCUCAGUGCUGCUUGGCUCGGUUGGUAUUCCUGCCCUGAGAAAAACAGAGUGGAGGAGAGAAACUGUGAGCACCAAUUACCACCCUGUCUCAUCCACUCAUCCUCAUGGAAGGAGACAAGGAAGGAGACAGGGAAGGAGAGAGGGAAGGAGAGAGUGAGAGAGAAAGGGGAGUGAACGAAAAGUGAAACAAAGCGAGGGAAGUAUGGGCUCAAUUGAAAAACAUUGAGAAGAUAAAUAUAUGCAAACCCCAUCCCUCUUCCUCUCUCUCCUCGCUCCUCUCUCUCUCUCUCUCCUCACUCCUCUCUCUCCUCACUCCUCUCUCUCCU